CGCGUAGGCGGCCUUCUAAGUCAGACGUGAAAUCCCCCGGCUUAACCUGGGAACUGCGUCUGAUACUGGAAGGCUUGAGUAUGGGAGAGGGAUGUAGAAUUCCAGGUGUAGCGGUGAAAUGCGUAGAUAUCUGGAGGAAUACCGGUGGCGAAGGCGGCAUCCUGGACCAUUACUGACGCUGAGGCGCGAAAGCUAGGGAGCAAACG
rnacentral:rRNA from 1 species